UCACAGUUUACACUGGCAGUCUUGCUAGAGUUCCCGACAUCACUCGCUGGCAACUAACAACAGGGGUUGCGCUCGUUAUAGGACUUAACCUGACACCUCACGGCACGAGCUGACGACAACCAUGCAGCACCUUGUAAUUUGUCUUGCGAAAGAUCUGUUUCCAAAUCGGUCAAACUACAUUUAAGCCCUGGUAAGGUUCCUCGCGUAUCAUCGAAUUAAACCACAUGCUCCACCGCUUGUGCGGGCCCCCGUCAAUUCCUUUGAGUUUCAGGCUUGCGCCCGUACUCCCCAGGUGGGAUACUUAUCACUUUCGCUUAGCCACUCAGAAUUACUUCCGAACAGCUAGUAUCCAUCGUUUACGGCGUGGACUAC
rnacentral:misc_RNA from 1 species